AUUGAAUAGGGAGACUUCCUCUCCUCUACCUUGGGAACAGUUUGCUGUGUGUUUCUUUAUAAAAAUUACUUUAUAAAUGUUCCUUAUUAUUGUCACCAUCACUUUUCCCCUGAAUGCCUUUCCCCUCUCCCUUCCUCCAUCUAAAUCUUGCCCAACCAUCAAAGCCCUGCUUUCAUCCCACCUCCUCCAGGAAGCCUUCUCUGACUCUCCUGGCCUGUAGAACUGCAGGAUCCUAGGGAUGAAAGGAGCUUCAGAGGCAUCUAAUCAGCCUAUCAUUGCCUUCUCCAGGUUCUCAGUUUCCCUGUCUGUAAAAUGAAGGUGUUGGAACCGAACCUCUAGCCAUAAGGUCAGUCUGUCCUGCAUUAUUCUCUCAUUGUUCCAUUUGUCCAUAUUGUCUCCUGGUUGGGCAGUGAGCAAGUCUCUUCCCUCUGUGUGUCUUUCCCUGAUACUUCCUCUUAGCCUAGCCCAGGACUUCCCAGGGACUUCAGUAAAGAUUUGGUGUUGAAUUCAUGGAAAGUCUGUGUGAUCUUGGGCAAGUCCCUUGCCCUUUCUGGGUCUCCAUCUCCCCAUUUGUAGAAUGAGGGAGUUGGGUUUGAUUUGCUCCUUCUAGUACUAAAUCCCACAAUUCCAGAACCUUACAGGUAAACAAGUGGCUAUUGUCAACUACAGAAUGUAGACAGGACUGAAUGCUUGAAUCUGCUCGUUGUUCUUCUGUCUCGGUCGAUCAUCAGGAGAUUCGAGGCAAACACAAGAGGAAGUACUCUUCAGUUUGCUAGAAAUAGCAGUGAUUUUGGAAUGACAAGAUCUAGGUUCAAAUCCUACCUCUAAUGACUGAUUCUACCUUCCUACCUGUUGGAUCUAGGGCAUGUCACUUAGCAUCCCUGGACCUGUUUUCUCAUCUCAUAAGGACUAGAUCACUUUUACAGCCAAUCAUGGUUUUCCAGACUACUUCCAGGGAAGAGCAACAUGGCUUUUGGAUGAGCUUAGAGUCACCAACCCUCAGCUUUCCAGUGAGAUGGAGGACCAUUGGUUUCUAAUAAUUUUAUGCCCUCCACAUCCGGAGGUAUUCUCAUCUGUCCUAACGAUCCCCUAGCCCUUGCCAUCUACAUGCUGCUUCAUGUAGGGCUUCAGAAUUUUCCAUGCCCCCUACAGCUGACCUCUUAUAAUGUGUUCUCUGUCUUAAUGAGAAUAUAAGCUUUUUGAGGACAGGGAGUGGCUAAUUUUUUGUAUCCUCAGUCCUUGGAACACAGAAAGCAAUUAGUGAAUGCUUUUUCAUUCCUUUAUUCACUCAUUCUUAGCCUCAGUUUCUUCAUCUGGAGAUUGGGGAUGAGAACAUCUACUUCCCAACAUGGUUGUGAUUAUCAAAUGGAAUAAUAUAUCCCAAGCAUUUUGAAAACAUUAAAGUGUUCAUUAUUAUUGUUGAUUGUCAUCGUCAUUGUUGUCAUCAUCACUCUACUUACCCCAAUCAGUACCACGUAGUGCAAUUUGCUUCCAUUAUUAUUCCAGUAGUGGGCAUGGACAACACUGAGCCCAGGUGUUCUCUAGCCUUCAAUUCACUUAUAACCAAUGGCUUAUAUUUGUGAAACAACUGGUGGAGUUGGGAUUCCAUUCUGGGACCGGUGAGAUGCCACUCUACAUCUAGGCUCAGUCUGUGCCUGGGCUCUGGGUUAACCAAGUCUUAGCUGUCCAGCUUUCUCUGCCAGAUUCUCAGAAGUGCCUGUGUUGUUGGGUUUUUUGUUAUUACCCACCUUCCCUGCCAACCCCAGAAGAGACAGACGAAUGAAUGGAUGUUUGCAAAAACUUUUCCUCAUUCCUGGAAUUGACUCUAACCACUGGAAUAUUUGGGCAAGAAACCAGUGUUGAGAGCAGUGACUGCUUCUAGAAUGUUUAAAGAGUGAUUCCUCUUGGAGCAGCUAGGUGACAGUGGUUUAGAGAGCCAGACCUUCAAAUCUGGUCUUAGACACUUCUAGCUGUGUGACCCUGGGCAAGUCACUUAAUCCCAAUUGAGAAAUGGUGAACGGGUUAGUUUUGGAAAAA
rnacentral:lncRNA from 1 species